CAGUAAAGAUGUCGGCACCUGGAAAUUUUAGAGACAGGCGUAGAGACGACUGGUUUAAUCCACGUGCCGUUAGUUUAGCUAAUAUGGAGCAAGAGAGAGAUUUGUUGGAACGCUCUCGUUUUCGUGAUCGCCGUGAAUAUUACGAUUCACGUUUCCAGGAAAGGGAACGGUCGCCCUUGCGCACAGCACCGAGUGAUUUUUAUCGUGACCGACCUUACUUUGCCCCCAUUCAUGGUCGUUAUGAUCAAGAUUAUGGCAGAAUUGGACCGGUUUACGGUUUCGACCAACAGGAUCUGUACGCUCAAGAUGCUGGUAGAGGUGUAUGGAGCGGUAGGGCAAGAUUCGGUUCGCGUCGGGACAGUUUUGAGGCAGUCUACGACCAGGUAGAUGAUAGGCGAUACAGCGAAAGGGAUCGUGAUCCCCGUCGGGAUAUUGAGGAACACGGUUGUUCGCCAAUAUUCAGUGGGCAUGGCGUGGACUACGGGCGACCACAAGAAGAGGACGAGGUGGAGGAAGUAGUUAUAGAUGAUCAUGAAGAUCAAGAUCGUCUACAAAAAUUCUUUAACCGUCCUUGGCGGCCAAGCAACCGAAGACCAGAAAGUUUGGCUGGACCGUCAGCGGCCGAGUCACCGGCACGAUCCGUUUCGCCAGGACCAGGCCCAUCAAAAGCUCAAACCCCGGAGCCAAGCAGUCAGCUAGCGAGUGUUAGUGUCGAGCCUACGCCAUUGAUCGUACCACAAGAAGUAAGUGAAGCGCUAUCGAACUGGGUGACGAAGGGCGUGUCAACGGACGAGUCCAAGGCUAUUUCCAAGAGGACUCCGCUAGAAUUCGCAGAUAAAGAGUUUUCGUUGAAACCCCCGAAACUUGAUGGUUACAUGUACAGGCGGGCAAAAGACAAAGGGAAGCUGAAAGCAGUGAAUGCAUCAGAAGAAGCGCUGAUCACGACACAGCUGAAGAUUAUGGACAUAGGUGCACCACUUAUUGAUCUGUAUACCCGCAUUCUUUCGCUCGGUGAGGGAGAAACGGAGAGAAAAGCCCAGGACUUGGUGCAAGAUGCAUUACGCCAGUGGUCACGUGCUUAUCACCACGUUACUCGUCAGAGAAGACGAUCGGUGGUUGCUUUAGUGGAACCGAGUUUUGAUUUUUUGACGGCCGAUCCUGAUGCGUUCGCGCCCGGAAAGGAGGCUCGCGAGCUCCUUUUUACGGGAAAGUUCCUAGAGUCGAUGCUUAAAGAGGCAUCACAGGACGCAACACUGGCAAGAACCUCAAGGACCAAAACGAGUUUCAGGUCAAGAGGAAAUGGGUCAGCAGACCAUUUUCAGUCAGCAUCGCGCCACCCCUUCGUGUUACGUCCAAGGAAGACUAGAGAGCAGCUACCGCAAAGAACUGCAAGUGAAAGGGGACGACCGGCAGGAGCCAGUUCAUGGUUGCGAGGGGGGCAAAGGUACGUUUUUAUUCCCCACUGUAUGUCUCCCAAAUACCCGUCAGAAGAGCAUGUGGGUGCUAGGUUAAUAGCUUUUGCGGGUCGUUGGAAAGGGAUAACAGACGAUCGAUGGAUUUUGGAGAGUGUAGCGCAUGGUGUAAAGCUUGAUUUCGUUUCUUCACCUACUCAGGAUAAAAUUCCGUCUCCCGUUAUCAUGUCUAGGGAAAUGAUCGCCGUAGGUGACAAAGAGGUGGGGGAUCUUGUAAGAAAACGGGCGGUCAGAGAAAUCACAGACGGGUCGGGGGGAUUCGUGUGUUCGUUGUUUUUAAUUCCCAAAAAGUCGGGAGGGUUUAGGCCUAUAGUUAAUUUAAAGCCUUUAAACCAGUUCAUUCGAUAUGAGCACUUUAAGAUGGAGAAUUUGGAAUCGGCGCGUUUUCUUUUGAGAAAAGGGGAUUGGAUGGUGAAACUGGAUUUGAAAGACGCCUACCUUACCGUACCCGUUUGCCCAUCUCAUCAAAAGUUUUUGCGUUUUCAGUGGAAGGGGCGUUUAUUUCAAUUUACAUGUCUGGCCUUUGGUCUCGCACCAGCGCCAAGAAUUUUCACAAAAAUUCUCAAGGUCGUAGUGGGUUUCUUGAGAAAAAAAGGUUUAAGGCUUAUCAUAUAUUUGGAUGACAUUUUGAUUUUGAAUGUAUCUGAAGAGCGCACGUUAAGGGACGUUAAGGUAACUAUCCGUUUACUAAAACAGCUAGGUUUUUUGAUAAAUUGGGGGAAAUCCGUGCUGGUCCCUACUCAAAAGUUGGAAUAUCUGGGGCUCGUAAUAGACUCGGUUCGAUUGUCCUUUGCCUUACCCAACGCCAAGGUAACGGCAGUCAAGAAAAUGUGCGAGACGGCGCUUGCGGCGAGAUCGACUUCAUUGAGAGAAGUAGCGUCGCUCAUGGGCAAUUUUACUUGGGCGAUCCCAGCGAUCCCUUUUGCACAGUCGCAUUACCGUAGACUUCAGCGAUUCUACAUUCGACUGGCUCAAGCGGCCAAUUUCAAUUUGAAAAGUAGAUGCUUACUUUCGGAGGAAGCGCGGAAGGAUCUGGAAUGGUGGGUGAAUAAUCUGAGCAAAGCGCAAGAUAAGGUCUUCUUUCCUAACACCCCAGAUCUAGAGAUUUAUACUGAUGCGUCGCUAUCAGGGUGGGGUGCAUGCUGUAAUGAGGUAAAAACACGAGGUUCAUGGACGUUAUCAGAUUCAAGAAAACAUAUAAAUGAGCUGGAAUUAUUGGCGGCGUAUUUUGCGGUACAGGCGUUUGCGGCUGUUUCUAAAAAAAUCUCAAUUCGGGUUUAUUUGGAUAACUCCACAGCGGUAGCCUAUAUUAAUCACGGUGGGGGUUCUCGUUCUCAAGCGCUAACUGAAAUAUCGUCUCAACUUACAACUUGGUGUGAAGAUCGCAGCAUAUCACUGGAAGCGGUUCAUCUAGCAGGCAAGUUAAAUUCAAUUGCUGACGCAGAAUCACGGGCCGGGCCGGAUUCCGGCGAUUGGAAGUUGGAUCCGCUUGUGUUCAAUCGUAUUCAAGAUCUAUGGCCGUCAGUCGUUGACGCUUUUGCGACACCGUGGAACGCGCAACUGUCAUCAUUUAUUUCCUGGCAUCCGCAGCCGGGUGCGAUGGCAACAAACGCUUUUUCGGUUAAUUGGGAAGGGUUAUUUGUCUAUUGUUUUCCCCCAUUUGCCUUAAUUUUCAAAUGCCUCGAUAAGAUCAGACGCGAAAAGGCAUUAGUUGUUUUCGUUUGUCCAGUUUGGAUAGGCCAGCCAUGGUUCCCAUUAUUGCUGGAGCUUUCUUGCGACGUUCCUCGUCUUCUUGUGCCGUCUCAAAGUCUAUUGAAAUCAGCGCUGGACGAAGAUCACCCGCUUACACAAACCGGUGCGCUGCACUUAGCCGUAUGGAGGCUGUCAGGCGACAGUAUCUUGAACGAGGCUUUUCGACGACAGUGGUUGAACUACUCAUGGCCGGAAAUAGGCCCAACACACAUGCCGCUUACGAGUCGGCAUGGCGAAAUUGGGUGGAUUGGUGCAUGGGAAGGGGUGCGAAUCCCUUUUCAGUCAUUAUAGCGAACAUUUUGGAAUUUUUAGCAAGUUUACAAUCGUCAGGUAAAUCUUAUAGUUCUAUUAAUAUUCAUCGGUCGAUGCUAUCGACCACAUUAAAACCGGCAGAAGGGAUACCCAUAGGCGAACAUCCGGAGGUAGUAAGAUUGCUGAAAGGCUGUUACAAUCGGAAUCCACCACGUCCAAAAUACAGCGCUACAUGGGAUUCGAAUCAGGUUAUUGCCUUCGUUUCGACGUUAGGGGAGAACGAUUCUUUAUCAUUAUAUUUGCUGGCGACAAAAAUGGUUACGUUGAUCGCACUGGCGACGCUCAUGCGAGUGUCAGAAAUAGCAGCGAUCGGAUUAAAAUCGGUAGUAUUCAGCCAGAACGGCGUUAGAUUCGCGUUGGAAACACCAAGGAAAGCUCAGAGAAAUGGACCGAUGCAGUCAUUUUCAAUAACAUCGUGUCCAGAAUCAACGAUUUGCCCAGUAGCGGCAAUUGCAGAGUACAUAAAGCGUACCAGUAAGUUUCGAGCGGAUCAGAAUAGCGACAAAUUGGUUAUAGCCGCGAUCGCCCCGCACAAGCCAGUGUCAUCGAACACGGUGAGUCGAUGGAUAAAAUGUUUCUUAAAGAGCGCUGGAAUUAAUACCGAGAUGUUUGGAGCACAUUCAACUAGAAGCGCGGCCGCUUCUAAAGCGGCGAAAAGUGGGAUAUCAUUGGGAGCAAUUUUACGAGCGGGAAGCUGGGCUCAGGAAUCGACAUUCGGAAGAUUUUACAAUCGUUCGGCAGAGCCAACGGUUGAAUCGGCGGUCUUCGGGCAAACACACAAUUAAAACAACCUACAAAGUCACCCUUAGGGUCUAACGAAAUUUCAUUUCGUAGCACAAUUGUAAAUUACCAGAGGGAUCGUGUAACGAUCCCGAAAGGUAAUUCUAAUUGUGCAAGAGAUAAAUGAAGAGACGACCCUAAGGGUCCGUCUCCCGCCCAAACCCACCCUGGCUUCAUUUAUGGAAAAUUGAAUUAUGGUUUGAUAGCCGUCGACCUUUCACAUUAUUAUUUGUUUUAGAGUUAAUCAAGCAAGAAAGCCCAGAGGUUUCAGCGGCGGCAGUGGUCAUGGCUGGAAUCAGGCCAGCGAUCGCCCAGCAGGGCAGCUUCAUGGCUAAUUAACCCCCAAUCCGAGAGAGCGGCUAUAGAAGAAACUCAUGUGUUUUGUUUUGUCAAUGUUUGAUGGCCACUACUCUUUGUUGAUUUUCUUUUCUGUAUGGACAGAGUUUUUUUAUCCUGUCAGGAAAAUUGUCAGGUUUUUUCUCUGAUCCGCCAAAUAUUCAGUGAAAAUGCUGUGUUGUUUAUGUUUUGUUUUUGGUUUACAAACCCCUAAUGAAAUAAGUCUGAGUAAAAGGGGGCGUAUUCAGGUAUUAGGAAGGGAACGGUUGUUCAUUUGUUUUUUCUUUAAAAAGCUGAAAUAUAUUGUGUCUACACCCUUAGGGUCGUCUCUUCAUUUAUCUCUUGCACAAUUAGAAUUACCUUUCGGGAUCGUUACACGAUCCCUCUGGUAAUUUACAAUUAUCGUCGAUGUGAUGGGAUAUAAAAGCGCGUCGGUAACGCAAGCUAAAUCAUCAGCUACAUCUCGUCGCUUCUCCUGUUGUCGUCAGAUUUUCAGAAUGCGUUCGCAAUCACCUUGUGGUGUAACUAUUCCAAUCAGAUUUUUAGUCUUGGUCGUUCUCGGAUGCGUGCUACCAACAAUCUUUGCCGCUCCAUCAAAUCCUGCUGUCGGCCUUGAAGAAAAUGGAAUGGCCGUUAAUAAUGAUAGAGACGAUAUGACUGAUACUGACGAAAGCUUGGCCACCGUAGCGGUGUUGGUUUGGCGAUAUGGAUGCCCAAUUGCCAGGGGAGCUGCAAGAAUGUGUCGUUUAAUACGCAACGGAGACAUCGAUGAUCAAGUAUUGCUGGAAAGAUCUGAUGACGAAGAAUUGGAUGAAAUUGACAUGAAUAAAGUCCGUGAGAUAGUUAGGAAAUACGGAUGUCCAGUGAUGAAAGCCUUCGCUUUUGCAUGCAAGCUGAUCCCCGGUAAAUAACUGAUUGGGUUUUCUGCAUGGCUAGCUACUCUAUUAAUUUGUGGUAGUCUGUGUUGUGAUUGACGGCAAUAAAAAAAGAAAUCAACAUA